rnacentral:rRNA from 2 species
UUAAGCGACUAAGCGUACACGGUGGAUGCCCUGGCAGUCAGAGGCGAUGAAGGACGUGCUAAUCUGCGAAAAGCGUCGGUAAGGUGAUAUGAACCGUUAUAGCCGGCGAUGUCCGAAUGGGGAAACCCAGUGCAAUUCGUUGCACUAUCGUUAACUGAAUACAUAGGUUAACGAGGCGAACCGGGGGAACUGAAACAUCUAAGUACCCCGAGGAAAAGAAAUCAACCGAGAUUCCCCCAGUAGCGGCGAGCGAACGGGGAGCAGCCCAGAGUCUGAAUCAGCUUGUGUGUUAGUGGAACGGUCUGGAAAGUCCGACGGUACAGGGUGAUAGUCCCGUACACCAAAAUGCACAGGCUGUGAACUCGAAGAGUAGGGCGGGACACGUGGUAUCCUGUCUGAAUAUGGGGGGACCAUCCUCCAAGGCUAAAUACUCCUGACUGACCGAUAGUGAACCAGUACCGUGAGGGAAAGGCGAAAAGAACCCCGGCGAGGGGAGUGAAAAAGAACCUGAAACCGUGUACGUACAAGCAGUGGGAGCACCUUUAUGGUGUGACUGCGUACCUUUUGUAUAAUGGGUCAGCGACUUAUAUUCUGUAGCAAGGUUAACCGUAUAGGGGAGCCGCAGGGAAACCGAGUCUUAACUGGGCGUUAAGUUGCAGGGUAUAGACCCGAAACCCGGUGAUCUAGCCAUGGGCAGGUUGAAGGUUGGGUAACACUAACUGGAGGACCGAACCGACUAAUGUUGAAAAAUUAGCGGAUGACUUGUGGCUGGGGGUGAAAGGCCAAUCAAACCGGGAGAUAGCUGGUUCUCCCCGAAAGCUAUUUAGGUAGCGCCUCGUGAACUCAUCUUCGGGGGUAGAGCACUGUUUCGGCUAGGGGGUCAUCCCGACUUACCAACCCGAUGCAAACUACGAAUACCGAAGAAUGUUAUCACGGGAGACACACGGCGGGUGCUAACGUCCGUCGUGAAGAGGGAAACAACCCAGACCGCCAGCUAAGGUCCCAAAGUCAUGGUUAAGUGGGAAACGAUGUGGGAAGGCACAGACAGCCAGGAUGUUGGCUUAGAAGCAGCCAUCAUUUAAAGAAAGCGUAAUAGCUCACUGGUCGAGUCGGCCUGCGCGGAAGAUGUAACGGGGCUAAACCAUGCACCGAAGCUGCGGCAGCGACACGAUGUGUUGUUGGGUAGGGGAGCGUUCUGUAAGCCUGCGAAGGUGACCUGUGAGGGUUGCUGGAGGUAUCAGAAGUGCGAAUGCUGACAUAAGUAACGAUAAAGCGGGUGAAAAGCCCGCUCGCCGGAAGACCAAGGGUUCCUGUCCAACGUUAAUCGGGGCAGGGUGAGUCGACCCCUAAGGCGAGGCCGAAAGGCGUAGUCGAUGGGAAACAGGUUAAUAUUCCUGUACUUGGUGUUACUGCGAAGGGGGGACGGAGAAGGCUAUGUUAGCCGGGCGACGGUUGUCCCGGUUUAAGCAUGUAGGCUGGUUAUCCAGGCAAAUCCGGAUAAUCAAGGCUGAGGUGUGAUGACGAGGCACUACGGUGCUGAAGUAACAAAUGCCCUGCUUCCAGGAAAAGCCUCUAAGCAUCAGGUAACACGAAAUCGUACCCCAAACCGACACAGGUGGUCAGGUAGAGAAUACCAAGGCGCUUGAGAGAACUCGGGUGAAGGAACUAGGCAAAAUGGUGCCGUAACUUCGGGAGAAGGCACGCUGGUGUGUAGGUGAAGCCCCUGCGGGUGGAGCUGAGACCAGUCGAAGAUACCAGCUGGCUGCAACUGUUUAUUAAAAACACAGCACUGUGCAAACACGAAAGUGGACGUAUACGGUGUGACGCCUGCCCGGUGCCGGAAGGUUAAUUGAUGGGGUUAUCCGUAAGGAGAAGCUCUUGAUCGAAGCCCCGGUAAACGGCGGCCGUAACUAUAACGGUCCUAAGGUAGCGAAAUUCCUUGUCGGGUAAGUUCCGACCUGCACGAAUGGCGUAAUGAUGGCCAGGCUGUCUCCACCCGAGACUCAGUGAAAUUGAACUCGCUGUGAAGAUGCAGUGUACCCGCGGCAAGACGGAAAGACCCCGUGAACCUUUACUAUAGCUUGACACUGAACAUUGAGCCUUGAUGUGUAGGAUAGGUGGGAGGCUUUGAAGCGUGGACGCCAGUCUGCGUGGAGCCAACCUUGAAAUACCACCCUUUAAUGUUUGAUGUUCUAACGUUGGCCCCUAAUCGGGGUUGCGGACAGUGUCUGGUGGGUAGUUUGACUGGGGCGGUCUCCUCCCAAAGCGUAACGGAGGAGCACGAAGGUUAGCUAAUCCUGGUCGGACAUCAGGAGGUUAGUGCAAUGGCAUAAGCUAGCUUGACUGCGAGCGUGACGGCGCGAGCAGGUGCGAAAGCAGGUCAUAGUGAUCCGGUGGUUCUGAAUGGAAGGGCCAUCGCUCAACGGAUAAAAGGUACUCCGGGGAUAACAGGCUGAUACCGCCCAAGAGUUCAUAUCGACGGCGGUGUUUGGCACCUCGAUGUCGGCUCAUCACAUCCUGGGGCUGAAGUAGGUCCCAAGGGUAUGGCUGUUCGCCAUUUAAAGUGGUACGCGAGCUGGGUUUAGAACGUCGUGAGACAGUUCGGUCCCUAUCUGCCGUGGGCGCUGGAGAAUUGAGGGGGGCUGCUCCUAGUACGAGAGGACCGGAGUGGACGCAUCACUGGUGUUCGGGUUGUCAUGCCAAUGGCACUGCCCGGUAGCUAAAUGCGGAAGAGAUAAGUGCUGAAAGCAUCUAAGCACGAAACUUGCCCCGAGAUGAGUUCUCCCUGAGACUUUAAGUCUCCUGAAGGAACGUUGAAGACGACGACGUUGAUAGGCCGGGUGUGUAAGCGCAGCGAUGCGUUGAGCUAACCGGUACUAAUGAACCGUGAGGCUUAACCUU